rnacentral:rRNA from 1 species
CCUACGGGUGGCUGCAGUGGGGAAUAUUGCACAAUGGGCGAAAGCCUGAUGCAGCAACGCCGCGUGAAGGAAGAAGGGUUUCGGCUCGUAAACUCCUAUCAACAGGGACGAAAGAAAUGAUGGCACCUGAAUAAGAAGCCCCGGCCAACUACGUGCCAGCAGCCGCGGUAAUACGUAGGGGGCAAGCGUCAUCCGGAAUUACUGGGUGUAAAGGGUGAGUAGGCGGCAAGGUAAGGCAGAUGUGAAAGCCUUGGGCUUAACCCGAGGAUUGCAUUUGGAACUAUCAGGCUGGAGUGCAGGAGGGGAAGGCGGAAUUCCUAGUGUAGCGGUGAAAUGCGUAGAUAUUAGGAAGAACACCAGUGGCGAAGGCGGCUUUCUGGACUGAAACUGACGCUGAGGCACGAAAGCGUGGGGAGCGAACAGGAUUAGAUACCCCGGUAGUC